rnacentral:tRNA from 1 species
GGAGGCAUAGCUCAGCUGGUAGAGCACAUGCCCCACACGCAUGGGGUCGGGGGUUCGAGCCCCUCUGCCUCCACCA